CUAUUACUAGCACCACCACUGACAAGAUACACUCGCUAUUACUAGCACCACCACUGGCAAGAUACACUCGCUAUUACUAGCACCACCACUGGCAAGGUACACUCGUUAUUACUAGCACCACCACUGGCAAGAUACACUCGCUAUUACUAGCACCACCACUGACAAGAUACACUCGCUAUUACUAGCACCACCACUGACAAGAUACACUCGCUAUUACUAGCACCACCACUGACAAGAUACACUCGCUAUUACUAGCACCACCACUGACAAGAUACACUCGCUAUUACUAGCACCACCACUGGCAAGAUACACUCGCUAUUACUAUCUCCACCACUGACAAGAUACACUCGCUAUUACUAUCUCCACCACUGGCAAGAUACACUCGCUAGUACUACCACCACCACUGGCAAUGUAUUCUCGCUAUCUCAACCACUGUUAGUGUAUAAUGAUAAUAAUCACGUGUAUCAUAAAUAUCAUUGAACCAUAGUGGCUUGAUUCAUCUUAGGUUGAUCACACACUUGACCGUUACUUAAC